GUGGGGAAUAUUGGACAAUGGGCGAAAGCCUGAUCCAGCCAUGCCGCGUGUGUGAAGAAGGUCUUCGGAUUGUAAAGCACUUUAAGUUGGGAGGAAGGGCAGUAAGUUAAUACCUUGCUGUUUUGACGUUACCGACAGAAUAAGCACCGGCUAACUUCGUGCCAGCAGCCGCGGUAAUACGAAGGGUGCAAGCGUUAAUCGGAAUUACUGGGCGUAAAGCGCGCGUAGGUGGUUUUGUAAGUUGGAGGUGAAAUCCCCGGGCUCAACCUGGAAACUGCCUCCAAAACUGCAUGACUAGAGUACGGUAGAGGGUAGUGGAAUUUCCUGUGUAGCGGUGAAAUGCGUAGAUAUAGGAAGGAACACCAGUGGCGAAGGCGACUACCUGGACUGAUACUGACACUGAGGUGCGAAAGCGUGGGGAGCAAACAGGAUUAGAUACCCGGGUAGUCC
rnacentral:rRNA from 1 species